rnacentral:rRNA from 1 species
AGUGAACGCUGGCGGUAGGCCUAACACAUGCAAGUCGAACGGCAGCACAGUAAGAGCUUGCUCUUACGGGUGGCGAGUGGCGGACGGGUGAGGAAUACAUCGGAAUCUACUUUUUCGUGGGGGAUAACGUAGGGAAACUUACGCUAAUACCGCAUACGACCUACGGGUGAAAGCAGGGGAUCUUCGGACCUUGCGCGAUUGAAUGAGCCGAUGUCGGAUUAGCUAGUUGGCGGGGUAAAGGCCCACCAAGGCGACGAUCCGUAGCUGGUCUGAGAGGAUGAUCAGCCACACUGGAACUGAGACACGGUCCAGACUCCUACGGGAGGCAGCAGUGGGGAAUAUCGGACAAUGGGCGCAAGCCUGAUCCAGCCAUACCGCGCGGGUGAAGAAGGCCUUCGGGUUGUAAAGCCCUUUUGUUGGGAAAGAAAAGCAGCAGGUUAAGACCCCGCUGUUCUGACGGUACCCAAAGAAUAAACACCGGCUAACUUCGU